GUCCCAGUAGCACAAUGGAUAGUGUGUUGGACUUCUAAUCCAAGGGUCACGGGUUUGAAUCCCACCGGGAUG